rnacentral:rRNA from 1 species
AGAGUUUGAUCCUGGCUCAGGAUGAACGCUGGCGGCGUGCCUAAUACAUGCAAGUCGAGCGAACGGACGAGAAGCUUGCUUCUCUGAUGUUAGCGGCGGACGGGUGAGUAACACGUGGAUAACCUACCUAUAAGACUGGGAUAACUUCGGGAAACCGGAGCUAAUACCGGAUAAUAUUUUGAACCGCAUGGUUCAAAAGUGAAAGACGGUCUUGCUGUCACUUAUAGAUGGAUCCGCGCUGCAUUAGCUAGUUGGUAAGGUAACGGCUUACCAAGGCAACGAUGCAUAGCCGACCUGAGAGGGUGAUCGGCCACACUGGAACUGAGACACGGUCCAGACUCCUACGGGAGGCAGCAGUAGGGAAUCUUCCGCAAUGGGCGAAAGCCUGACGGAGCAACGCCGCGUGAGUGAUGAAGGUCUUCGGAUCGUAAAACUCUGUUAUUAGGGAAGAACAUAUGUGUAAGUAACUGUGCACAUCUUGACGGUACCUAAUCAGAAAGCCACGGCUAACUACGUGCCAGCAGCCGCGGUAAUACGUAGGUGGCAAGCGUUAUCCGGAAUUAUUGGGCGUAAAGCGCGCGUAGGCGGUUUUUUAAGUCUGAUGUGAAAGCCCACGGCUCAACCGUGGAGGGUCAUUGGAAACUGGGAAACUUGAGUGCAGAAGAGGAAAGUGGAAUUCCAUGUGUAGCGGUGAAAUGCGCAGAGAUAUGGAGGAACACCAGUGGCGAAGGCGACUUUCUGGUCUGUGACUGACGCUGAUGUGCGAAAGCGUGGGGAUCAAACAGGAUUAGAUACCCUGGUAGUCC